AAAAAGGCUCUUUUUAGAGCCCCAUUCUGUACUAGAAAAAAAAAA
rfam:Cricetulus griseus cell line CHO-K1, whole genome shotgun sequence.